rnacentral:rRNA from 1 species
UAAUACCAGCACCUCGAGUGGUCAGGAUGUUUAUUGGGCCUAAAGCAUCCGUAGCCGGCUUUGCAAGUCUCCGGUUAAAUCCAGCUGCCUAACAGAUGGGCUGCCGGAGAUACUACAAAGCUAGGGAGCGGGAGAGGCAGACGGUAUUCGGUGGGUAGGGGUAAAAUCCUCUGAUCCAUUGAGGACCACCAGUGGCGAAGGCGG